ACAGAUCCAGUUUUAUUCACUUUCCAUUUUUUCUCCCUUCUGUUUUGUUCCUCUUUUCCUCUUCUGUCAUUUUCAAUUUCAAGAGACUGAAUUAAGAGAGGAUUCAUAGAAAAUUAAUACUGAUGUGUUGAGGGAGAGAGUUGUUGAUGGAGCCAUAGUUGAUUGAACACAUAACUGUGUUGAGGGAGAGAGUUCUAAGCAAAUUGCGAUGCUUUUACAUAUAAGAAUGAGAAUCGAUGAUGGAAUAUAGAUCAGGGAAGGGAAUGAAAUCAGGGAUUGUUGAUGGUCAUGGUAUCGAUCCGUCUGUUGAUUCGAACUCAACAUAAAGAUAAAGAGGAUGAGAUAAUAGUGGUGGUUCGAAGAAGAUUUGAUGUUGUUACAAGUUACGGUUAGUGAUUGCAUUUGGGUUCAGUAGCAUAAGUGAUAUCGAAGGUUUUGACUGUUCCAGUUUUCCAAUUAAUUGCUGGAGAAAUCAAGUCUUUCUCGACGGAAGGAUGGGUUGCACCAAAACUCUCUAGAAGGGCUGAUAAGUUCAUGCUCUACAUGCUUACUGCUGGGAAGAAAGCUCUGGCUGAUGGUGGGAUCUCGGAAGAGGUCAUGAAUGAACUGGGUAAAACUAGGCCGACGUCUGUCACUCUUAUCAAGUCCUGAAAAGAGGUGGAGAAUGAGCUAGAGUUCUACUUCUUGAAGAAUUAGACCAUGCGAAGAUAAUUUGUUGAUUCAUUUGAAAGUGUCAUUGUUGAAUUGCUAAUGUUUAUAGCAUCUGAUUUCUUUUGGCUGUGCAAUACAGAAAAGAGGAGCAACUAUCUAUGAUGAGUUUCUUGGCGGAAGCUUUGCUUCUGAUGCUUAUCAUAUGACCGAGCCUCAUCCAGAAGGAAAAGGUGUUGUUCUUUGUAUAGAGAAGGCCUUAGCUCAAUCUGGGGUUUCCCAAGUCCAUGAUCGGUUAUCUAUUAGGAGCAGCUGGUCUUGUGGAAGCUGUUGCACUGGUGCUGUUGAAGCUUUUGCAGCUGGUGCCUUUUCUUGUAUUCAUGCCGUCAGGUGUAUUCAAAGUUUGUCCCAAACUUAACACAGGCGCUUUAGAUGUUUUUAAUCUUAGUUACUACCUUUUUGAACUCUAUGGGUGUUGCCCAGAUUUCUGUUUCAAAAACAGUAAAACAUGCAUCUUACUUGCAUAUAUGCAAGUUUCAAUGGAAAACUUUGUAAAACUUUGUUAUGAAUGCAAGUUUAGUUUCUUAUUUUAUA